CCUCUUUCUCACUGAAUCAGUAUUUGUUUAACUUUCAUGUUUGCUAGAGUUUUAUGUCGAUUCUUGACUACCCAUGUCUUAUUUUAUUUAUAUGCUAAACACUGACUCAUGACUUUCUCUUCGAUUGAUUAUGAAUUUAUUGUUUCUUGGUUUGAUUUGAACACUUUUCUUUAAACCUUCGAUUCCUACUCAAUUUGAUUGAUUCCCUUACCUUGGCUUUAUUGUUACUUGAUUCUUACUGACUAUCUCUUUAAUUAGAGUUUUUCUGAACCUAGCCCUAAUUGUUUACUCUAUGCCUACUAUGUUUGAAUUAUUUCCUUAUCUGUUAUGCUCCAAUUACACAUCAAUUUUUUUCCUUAUUUAUUACUUGUUCUUACCGUUUGAACUAACUCCCUUAUUUAAAGGAGUACUUGCACUAAUUUUUCUUUAAUUGGUUAUGAGUUCCAUAAUUACUAUACCAUUGUGAUUCUUGCCUUAUUUUACCUAUUUUCGUACUAUUAUAUACAUGCUCUCUCAUUAACAAUCAAUAUACAUGAACAGAUUAGUUCAAUAGCUCUCUCUCUCACACUUUCAGAACUUUCUACUCUCUUUUGUGUUACUUAUUGAUGUUCUAAGUUAGUCGGCUGCAAGCCAAGGCUAACUAUUGAGUUCUCUUUCACUUUGUGCUUGCUAUUUUUCUUCACUAGUAUGUGUUGAUUUCAAUACCAGCUUCAAAAAUAAGACGCUUCUUUAAUAACUUUAGUUUGUCAUGUUUCUAUUAUGCUUCUGUCUAUGGUUUUGUUGUUCAACCUGCAACAAACAUGUCUACUUAACUGUCUUUAUUUACUGCAUGCUUCUGUAUAUGUCCAACCCCCCUUAAGAUUAGUCUGCUCAUGAAUCUCUUUCUAGCAUACCCCCAAUGUAACUCUUCUUUACUUAUGUUUCUCUAAUUUCUGGCAUGCACCUUCCUGUGUAACGUAGUUUGCUGACCUAAAUAUAUCUGAUUCUGUAUCAAUUCUGAAGUUCAUGUUGUACCUUAAUCCACUGAACCUCUUUUAGGACUUCUUUGAUUCUGUACCUAUGAGCAUCUUUGCCUACUAUGUGUCCAAUACUUGCCCCAAAUCCCCCAUUACCCCUGAGUGAAUGUUUGUACCUGUUAGAUUCUACGUCUUGAAGUGCUGAUGAACCUUUUUUGGUUCUGUGUUUGGUUUAUUGUUUUUUGAUCACCUUACCGUUUCAAAAUUGUCUUAUUGAAUAACUCCCUAUGUUUUUUUUUUUACAAAACUAUUUCAAACAAGUCUCUUUUCAACGUUGUUUUCUUACUAAAACCCUUUCAAACUAUUUCAAGCAUUCUCACUUUACUCCUAAGUCCCUAGGUUCUGCCCCCUCCAGUGUGUGUACUGCCUCAAGAUCAUUCUGAGAUCCCUCUGAACUCUGGCCCACUAAGGUUGUCCCUUCCACAGUGCACUUACUCAAUCCUUAUUUUGAAAAGUCUAGGUCUGAGCACUGCUCGAGAUCUUUGAGAUCCUUAGGGAACUCUCCCGCACCUAAACAAUGAUAUUGUCUAUGGAAUUUUGCAUUUGAGGCUAUUGGAGGUUUGGGAUUAUCACUUGGGCCUGCUUCAGGCUCCCUAUUGUAUAACUUCUUCUUUUUUCUUUUAUAUAUUUACGUAAUUU
rnacentral:lncRNA from 1 species